rnacentral:rRNA from 1 species
CCUACGGGAGGCAGCAGUGAGGAAUAUUGGUCAAUGGGCGCGAGCCUGAACCAGCCAAGUAGCGUGAAGGAUGACUGCCCUACGGGUUGUAAACUUCGUUUAUAAAGGAAUAAAGUGACGCACGUUAGCCUUUUUGUAUGUACUUUAUGAAUAAGGAUCGGCUCACUCCGUGCCAGCAGCCGCGGUAAUACGGAGGAUCCGAGCGUUAUCCGGAUUGAUUGGGUUUAAAGGGAGCGUAGAUGGGUUGUUAAGUCAGUUGUGAAAGUUUGCGGCUCAACCGUAAGAUUGCAAUUGAUACUGGCUGCCUUGAGUGCAGUUGAGGUAGGCGGAAUUCGUGGUGUAGCGGUGAAAUGCUUAGAUAUCACGAAGAACUCCGAUGGCGAAGGCAGCUUACUAAACUGUCACUGACGUUGAUGCUCGAAAGUGUGGGUAUCAAACAGGAUUAGAUACCCCUGUAGUC